rnacentral:rRNA from 1 species
UCUAAUGGACAAGUUAAUAUAAAAACUCUAAAGUUAAACGUGUUCGGGCGAGAAUAGUACUAUGAUGGGUAACCUUCUGGGAAGUUAGGUUGUAUUAUGC